rnacentral:rRNA from 1 species
UUUUCCGCACUAUUUUCUCCUGAGACCGUGGGCUUCGGAACCGGCGUGGGCGUGUAGCGGUGAGAGGGGGUGCGGCGGUGGUGGCGGCGACGCCGAAUGCCGAUGCGUCGAGAGCGCGGGGAGCUGCUGCGGCGGCGGGAGGCUCCAAAGGCCGGCGAUUGAAGCAGAGCAGAUCCUAACUGGGCGAGGAGGCGUGCUAGCGGCGGAGGAGGCGGAGGGGGGCUCCCAAAGGGGCGGCGGUACAGGCCGGACUCGCGCGGCGGCAAGCUGCCGGAGCGCAGCCCCGGGCUGGGCACCCUGCAGCAGCAGUUCCAGUUUAUACCACUGUGUGAAUUCUCCAAGUUACCAAUACAGUUGCCUUGUGUGAAGUGGAACUUAGAUAGACGAGAAGCAAGGUUUUAACGUUUACGAAAAUUCAAACGGGGACUACGACUGAAGAAAGAGUGAAUGUGACUACUCCUACCCCUACAACAGUACGACCUACUACUGCUCCUGAACGUACUACGUCGAUAGGUAGUCUUUAACUUGGGAGAGUCCUAAUUACAAGUCAAUUUCUUAUCGGUGCGACCCCGUAGAGUGUAAUUGGCCGUCCUAAGUUCGGGAUUUGGAGAACCCCGGUGGUGAGUCCUAGGCAAUCGAGUCUAUUUUAGACAAUAACUACUUCGAAAUUUCGGGUAUAGUCUUGGAAACUCUAGGUGACGUUCCCUUCUAGGUGAUCGAGUAAAUUUUAGUCGAGAACUACUUCGAUACUUUAGAUAGGUACUCGGUCAAGGACUUAGGGAACGUUUUGACAGUGCACUUCAUGAACUACGUCGUGGUGGUGUUAAUUGACUAGACUAUUUUGGAAAGCACUUGAACUAGUGUAGUUGGUUGUCAUCGGUUAGACGACCCGCACGACUGUCCAGUGGACAGAGGAGGUCACCACACGUCGUUCGUGUCCAACUAGAGUUUCGACUACCAGUCGGAUUUCAACUCCGUUCAAACCCAAGUGCUGGAAACUUACUUGCUUCGGGACAUAGUAGACUCUGUCCUCCAGAAUUCUCACACAAUCAACUUCAAGGACGACAUCAGUAGUGACUUCGAAGAGUUCCGGUUCCUAGUAAUAUAGGAAGACAACUCCUAAACGACAUGUGGAGAUUAAGUCCACCAUUGUCAAGACCAAGGUUCCUAUACUCACUACGAGUUUCAUUCCCCUUCAGACAGUACGGGAGACGACUUGUUGGACGAGCAAGGUGACAAGGGUCAAAAGCAGGUUCAGUAGGUUUACGUAGACCUUUACUUACCAAGGUCGGUGCUUCUAGCCACCUACCUACCAGGGUCGGCUCUAGGUAAACCGUUGGACUUUGAUUACAGUUUGGUCGAUCACUAGGACCUACCGCACAAGGUUACAUAUUUCGCGGAGUGGGUAGGGGUGGUCGGGGGGUACGUGGGAACCCAAUACCUGUAAGAGGUGUUAAAGGAAUGGGACCGGUAGACGAUAGACGACCCGCAGACAUACCCUUAGAACCAUUAUUGUCACUCUCCAGUGGUGCUUAAAGUGUAUCCACCUAAGUCACACUACCAACACCUCAUGUUGGUUAACAACCCGGUGCGAUGUUCAGAUUACACUUUCUUCUAAUACUAGACACACUAUGGACGAAGGCAGCAUACCCGUCACUCCAACUCAUGUGGUCUUAUCUGUUCGGAUAGGACGGUGUGUUCAAUAGAGCGCUGGGAUUAAACACGGCCUUUUAGGUAAGUGCACGAAGCUACUUCAGUUUCGCACUCUUCGAACUUUCGGCGAAGUAAAACCUACAUUGCCACGACCUACCGUGUGAAUACAGUGGAAGUUCGGGCAAGUGAUUCUAAACCGCGUACGUGUUGUUGCCCAGAUAGUACACCGGGAACCCGUGUGUCGAUUAAACCCAGCCACCACUAGUUAAACGUGACGUCUGGAGACAGGGUGAUCUCUAAGGUAACUUACCUAAAGGCCACCUAGUUCUCUACCUACAACGACAACUAAAACACCGUGGACGUUCCGGACCCUCCAUAUAUAGAAUGACCUCUGACCGUAGUGGAAGACCAGUUUUUAAACCAGUCGCUCAAACCCAAGUAUAGGUCCACCUUCUAGGUAGAAAACAGUCACUGUUGUUCUGACGACGACAAUUGAACUUAGUCGGAGUCCUUUCGUUGUAGUGUUUGUGUUCAUCAGACGGAGUCCUUUCGUUGUAGUGUUUGUGUUCAUCAGACGGAGUCCUUUCGUUGUACUGUUUGUGUUCAUUAAACUAACUACAGUUGUACCUCGGACGAUUGGUUCAGGAUCUACUUGUACACUUGCCGUGAUCUUACCUUGACGACCUCGGAAACUAUAUGGUACUUCGACGACUCGGGUUCUUUAGGGGGAGUCGUAAAAGUCGUCGAGGAGGUAUGGGGUACCAGCUACAAGGCAGUAGGUCACUUUUACGUCGACGAAAGCACGGUUCACAAUUACAUGAACGUGGACUUCAGUAAGGCUCUGGACGACACUGAUGUGGACGACUACACGGGUGUUCAAGCGAAUGAUCAUAGGGACACCUAGACGGGCAUCGACGUUGGUGUGGACACCUACAUCGUAGACGCGGCGAACUGUAGCUGUCAGAAUGUCUUCUCUUUGACGACGUCCUCGACCUCCUUUACCCGAAAUUCGUCCAACUAGACUUGUUCCUCUAUGACUCCGUCUUAUUCAUGUUGGACCUCGUCAGGCACCUACUAGACACACCACAGUUACUUACCCUGGGAGACGACCGCCUUGACUUGCUUUACCCUAAACUACUGUCCCUCUGCUUGUUCCUCGAAGAACGGUUCUUACCUCCUUCGUAGUUUGCUCGACACUACCUGGAGUAGCGGUCCCUCUUCUUCCUGUUCACUUCUAGCACACGAGAGCUCGUGGAUCAAUAGAUAUAGAGCAAUGUAUACGCAUUUAUUACUCUGCUCACCAUGACGACAACACGACGAGGUCAUACAGAGCACCAAACGAAUACUUGACGACACUUCGCACAACGACCACACUGAAACACACGCCACACUUGAGAUAAUACAACACUGGCACCACCCAGUCGACGCACACCAACGACAUUACCGGAAUCAACGAAACAAGGAUGAUAGCACUGACCUUCUGGAUACACCUAAAGUGGAUAUAAUAAUACACAAGGCAGAAGGCACAGCUGUAAGGACAUUUCAGCUG